rnacentral:rRNA from 1 species
GUGGGGAAUAUUGGACAAUGGGGGGAACCCUGAUCCAGCCAUGCCGCGUGUGUGAAGAAGGCCUUUUGGUUGUAAAGCACUUUAAGCGAGGAGGAGGCUACUUUGGUUAAUACCUAAAGAUAGUGGACGUUACUCGCAGAAUAAGCACCGGCUAACUCUGUGCCAGCAGCCGCGGUAAUACAGAGGGUGCGAGCGUUAAUCGGAUUUACUGGGCGUAAAGCGUGCGUAGGCGGCUUUUUAAGUCGGAUGUGAAAUCCCCGAGCUUAACUUGGGAAUUGCAUUCGAUACUGGGAAGCUAGAGUAUGGGAGAGGAUGGUAGAAUUCCAGGUGUAGCGGUGAAAUGCGUAGAGAUCUGGAGGAAUACCGAUGGCGAAGGCAGCCAUCUGGCCUAAUACUGACGCUGAGGUACGAAAGCAUGGGGAGCAAACAGGAUUAGAAACCCGGGUAGUCC